CUGGUUGGUCAUGUGAGGGUUGAAUAAAUAAAUAACCGGGUGCUGGUUUUACUAUAAAAGAACGUUACGGUUAUCUGUGUAAUAUUGUGUGGUUUACCAGUAAGUUACCAUAGAAGAAUCUGAAGAGCAGAAGAAAAAUGUUAAAAGUAAUAUUGUUCGCCAGUUUAUUGUACUUUGCCUAUGCAGCUCCAGCUCCAGGCCUGGUGGCAACCACCCACGUGGUACACCACCCCAUAGUGCACCACCCCAUCGUGCACCACCCUAUCGUCGCACACCCCGUCGUUAAGGCCGUACCCGUCGUCCAUCAGCCCGUCAUCCCGGUGGUACCAGUAGUGAAAACCGUUCAUCCUGUUAUCGUCCAUUAGGGGGAAAAUAUUUAUAAAAUACACAAUUUUUAUUACGGUUCACAAGAGUUUUAUUCUUAAGUUGUUCAUACAAGAACCAGUUAUUAAAUUCAUACACUUUUCAAGGUUCCAACCAGUUAACAAUGUCCGCAUUACAUACUAAAAAAUAAAUAAAUAAUUUAAAUUCUCUUAAA